rnacentral:lncRNA from 1 species
ACCAUUCACGCUCCAAACUUCCAAAGCAGAACCCUAAAAGAAACUCUCCAUCUCCAUUCUCAUUUCUCCAGCACUCAGCAGCCGGCAACCAUCGCCCAGCAGCCAUCGUCUGUUGUGUUCGCCUGGUCCAUUCAUCGUUCUCAUCUAGUCAUCUGUUCUGUUCGUUUGUUGUCCGCCGGCAACCAUCGCCCAGCAGCCGUUAACCAGCAGCCGUCAACCAGCAGCCACAUCAGUUCUGUUCGUCUGUUGUCCGCCCAGCAGCCAUCGUCCAGCAGCCAUCAGUUCUGUUCGCCUGUUUCUGAUUCAUCGAUUGAUUCACGGGUUCUGAUUCAACUUAUCGAUACCCAUAUCUUUCAAUCGAAAUGUCAUGUGCUUGCCUUUAAGUGAUUUAGCUCAUGUGGAUGUACUGUUACUGUCGUUCCUUUGUAUUUUGGUCUUCUAAAAUCAGAAAGUCAGAAUCACCCAAGGCUUUUGGAUUCAUUUAAUCAGAUAUGAAGGAGGUUGUUUAUUGCAAGCUGGAAGAAAUUCGUCAGAUGAGAGCGGCUCUGAAUCUAGCGAAACCUCAUCUGGACCUGAUCUAACUUCGCCUCGAAACCCUAGCGUUUGCCAAUCUGUAUCAAGAUUCCUCCAUGUUAACCUUCAAAAGGUUUGAAUGUUUGGAAUUGAAGAAUGAAGAUCUUGAGAAAGAAAGGCAUUUGGGAACUUGGAUUUUGAAACUAUUUGGAUAUUAUGAUUAGACUUUUAUGGAUUUCGUUUUAAGUUUGUUAAGACAUUAUGUGUUUAUGCAUUUUUAUGACUUUUGUGAACCUUUGGUGACUAAAUUUUCAUUAAACAGGUUCCUUAAUU